CUCACCAAGCCUCUAACUGGCACUGCCCUACAUCCGAUGCUGUCCAAGUUGAAGGUGGUGUCCCCCUCCAACUUGAGGGGGGGUAUCGACUUACAAGAUUACAUGGCUUCUAAGCCAUUUCAAUCGUUGUGUAAUUGUAUAUUGAUUUUGUAUAUUUGAUGUAUAUAGAGUGUAUAUAUAAUGGGCAGUGAUGAUAUAUGUUCUGGGCUCAUGUGUUGGGCCACUGACACUUAUGAGCCUAAUGGGUCAUAUCUGAGCCCGGGUCAUUUGACCCAUAUAUGUUCUGGGCUCAUGUGUUGGGUCACUGACACUUAUGAGCCUAAUGGGUCGUAUCUGAGCCCGGGUCAUUUGACCCAAUACCCGACCCGGUCUGGUCCAAUUCUUAUUUGUACAUAUGGUGUAGAGGAGAAGGUUCUACACAUCAGAUAUUUUCAUUUUCAUUUCCCAACAACCGACUCUUCGGUUCUCUCAAUCUCUCCUCCUUCUCUCUACUUUCUCUCUCUAGUUUCUC
rnacentral:lncRNA from 1 species